GUCUUGUGGCGUUUUUGAGGUCAUUUAUUCAUUAUUUCGGCGGUAUCAAUUAAGAGAAUCCACAAAAAUAAAUAAACAAACUCAUUUUGGUUAUCGUAAAUUCUUACGUUUGCUUCUGGUUGGACAUGCGCACAUUUAUACUUUACGACUUACUAGACUGUGUGUGUGUGUGUGUGUGUGUUUGUUUAAUUUUUUUUUUGUCUUUCUUUUUGACAAAAUGUAUCAAUUUAUUGCAUUCGAACAGUGAGUAAAUGAUUUUAAGUUCAUGAUAAAAUGUGAUGAUUUCAGGUAUGUCGGUUCAUAAAGACGCCUGAUGUCGGGACGGUGAAGGCACGUCUACAAGAUAAUGUGGUGUAAACAGAUGGUAAACGUAAUUUCCGGACACAGAUGCGACUUGCAAGGGUCAAAAUCUUUAUAUUAUGCCGACUUGUAAAAUGUCCAAACAGCUCCAACUGCUACCUAAGAUGAUAACACGGACGAUAAAGGAAUGAAGGGUAUGUCUGCUUCACUACGAUUGACAAAACUUGCACAUCUACUUUCAAGCUGGUGAAAGCACGACUUCAAGAUGUAAACUAAAAAAGAAGAUGGUAAUUUCCGGCCACAAGUGUCAAAAUCUUAAAAUUAGGGUCGAAGAGAAAUAUACGUCUCUCGCGGUAAACAGAAUACAGCACGGCAUUUUGCUUCAUAUACGUGUUAUUCAAAAGACAACAACAGUUUAAAGCCAAAGGAACCCAAUCUAACAAAUUGUGUCAGUCUUUGGACAUUGGAAAUUCUCCCCUUUGCUGAUGAAAUACCAUCUAUCAUUUAAUGGAUAUUUAACUAGAACAGAACAGAACAGAACAGAACAGAACGGACCAGAACAGAACUCUCAGUCAGCAUUUACAUCUUUGUAAACGGCAUCGAUAUUGCCAUUUAAUUUAUCAUAUAUUUAUCGAUUUAUAACUGGUAUUCUGCGGACUCCGUAAUUGAUACAUUGCCAUUUUCUUGACAAAAUAUUGAUAAAUCAGUUGAUAGACCGAUACCGAAGUUGGAUUUUGCUGUUAUCCGAAUUCAGAAAGCAGCAUAAUACAAUAAGUACAAUGAUUAUCAAGAUUUAUAAAAAAUGUUUCACCUAGAGUUAUUUUGACAUAGGAAAUUCUACACGUCUGACAAACCGGAAGUAAAAGCAUGACGUCAUUUAACCGGAAAUAUAACACAAAACCUGGACUCGGCAUAUGGAUUCUCCUUUUCGUUUGCCUAAUUUUCUUAAAAUAUCUAUGGGUUUGAAAACUUAAGAUUUUCUCAAUUCGAGCAAACAACAACAACAACUACAAAACCACCAUAAUGUAAAUUCUGUAUGUUUUGUGCAAAUUUGUCAAGAGGAUACAUGUAUAUAAAUGUGUACAUGAUAUUUUAAAUUAGUUGUCAAGAAUAUUAUUUUACAUUUGUGAUAUAAUAGAUGAAUCUAAUAUAAUGAAGUUAUACAUA